rnacentral:piRNA from 1 species
UUUGUCUUUACUAUAAGAUGGCUGUCACCCC